UACGUAGGGCGCAAGCGUUGUCCGGAAUUAUUGGGCGUAAAGAGCUCGUAGGCGGCCUGUUGCGUCCGCUGUGAAAUCCCGGGGCUCAACCCCGGGCCUGCAGUGGAUACGGGCUGGCUGGAGGCAGGCAGGGGAGAACGGAAUUCCUGGUGUAGCGGUGAAAUGCGCAGAUAUCAGGAGGAACACCGGAGGCGAAGGCGGUUCUCUGGGCCUGUUCUGACGCUGAGGAGCGAAAGCGUGGGGAGCGAACAGG
rnacentral:rRNA from 1 species